UUCAAUACCUUCCAGAUGAUCUUAUGAUAAGCUUGUAAAAGCCAAAACCAUCUGCCCUACCCCCCUCUACCGCUCCUUUAUCUUCCUCUCUUGCUCUUCCAUCUCUCCCUACAGGCACGUCAGUGUCUUCCAUUUCUGGAACUACUCUCUCACUUGGAGCCAAAGUUUGCACACACGAGCGUGCUCUCUUUUAUCUGGCCAACUGCGGUCCUCAGAGCUUGGUUUAUAACUCAGUCAGGUUUGCACCUGGUUUUUGGGAAUCAACAGUCCCCCCGACGGAGCAUCAGCCAACAGGCUGGGAACUCUUGUCAACAAGCUCUUAAACGGCUCACAAUUCUGCUAAGAGCUUGCAUGUAUCUAGCUGGUGCUCAAAGACCCAAGUAAAAACAUUAAACGGAGGGUUUCUGCCCAUUCCGCAGUCUAAAGCGAGAAGUCAUCUGUCCUAGGGGGUGCCCUAGUGUCCUG
rnacentral:lncRNA from 1 species